CAAUUAAAAGCCUUCAUUUGCUUACGUGUAUCUGAUGUGUCAAUUCUAAUUUAGUAUGUAUCAAUUUUCAUUUCCAAAAAAAACAGAGUAGCUAUUUUCCUUUGGUCCUUCGAAAUUCUUUCUCGAAAUAUUCAUCGAACACAAUAUUCACUCCCAAUCUUCACCAAAUCUUUCAUCUCAAUCAAACCGGCAAUCCAUCCCAAUUAAACCAUCAAUUUUUGGCGUCUAAAGGAGGUUGGCGACGGAGAACCUGUAUCCUAUCAAUCUCCCAAUCUUCGCCAAACCCUUCAUCCUAAUCAAACUGGCAAUUCAUCCCAAUCAAAUGGGCGAUUGCAUCUAAAGGAGGUGGGCGAUGGACAACCUGUAUCCAAUCGAUCUCCCAAUCUUCACCAAGCCCCUCAUCCCAAUCAAACUGGCGAUUCAUCCCAAUCAAAUGGGCAAUUUCCGGCGUUUGAAAGAGGUGGGUGAAGGACAACCUAUAUCAAAUCGAAUCUCCGGUGAGAUCUUGUUGUCAAUUUCUCUUGUAUUCUCUUCUUAUCUUCUAUUUCUAUUUGAGUACCUCCAAAUAAUUUUAGAUCUCAUAAGUGUUCAUAGACAGCUUGAUAACAAAAACUUUGGUGGCUAUCCAAUACCGUGCUCAUAUGGAAACAUAUCUAUUUUGUUGGUGUUGAGUACGAGGAUUUCCGAUUCCUGAUUGAAGGAAUAGUCCACAUAUUGCUUAUAUAGAUUUGAGUUUCAACCAGCUUAAUGGAACAAUUCCAAAUGGUAGUAUUUCUAAAAAUAUUACCACUAUUGAUCUUUCAGUAAAAAAUCUGGCUAGAACUAUUCCCACCAACUUUUAAGCCUCUCAGUUUACAAAAACUGUGAGCUACCAUUCAUGGAUUUGCUCUAUUUUAAUUACUUACCAGAUGCAGUGAACUAAAGAGACACAAUCCAAUCAAUUCUCUUUACAGGUAAGUAGCAAAUAAUUUAUUAAAUUACUCCAUUCCAUCAAGCAUAUGGCAAGACAUGAUAUUAAAUUCAUCCGAGUCACUUAUUGUGUAAACUCCAAAUAAAUUAUAACCAUCAAUAAGUUUGUGUAAUAAUACAUAUGAACUGAAUCUUGUUGCUUGUACCUUUGUGAAUAUUGCAGGGAUUUUGGGUACUUUUAUACCUUUGUAGGUUCAUUAAUUUAUACUUUUACAGGUCUAUUAAUUUGAAGGGAACUUUGUGUAUUUUUUACCUCAAUCACUUUUUUUUUUUUGUAAAAUGUUUCACUAAGAACAAUAAAAUUCUCAUUGAGUUCUUCUUUAAAGUUCACUUUAAUAGUUCAAGAACUAUUAUGUCAAAAUUUCCUAAUGACAGUUGGCAUACAAACAAUAGUCUCUUAUUAUCUUUUUUAGUGGUUUUUCUUUUUUCAAUAGUGCUCGAUGCUAUAGUAGCGAAUUUACUCAUGCAAUUCCUUUGAUUAAGAAUACUAGCUUUUCUAUAUGUGUUAUCUCAUCUUAAUUUUUGAACCUAUAGUUUUCCAUGAGACUUGCUUUACUAGCAUCGUUGCCUACUUCAUAUAGAGGCAGAGGUGGUUGUGUAAUGUUUAUUGAUGUUGAAUCCAAAUUUAGUUCAAGAAGGUACCUAUCUACUACAUAGUUACUAUAAACCAACACAAUGUCUAAGCCUACUUAUUAUAGUUGUUAAUUGUAUAACUUAUGCAGGUAACUUUUUAAGAGAUAAACGGUGUGAAUAGGCAUAGCUCAUUUGCUUAUAUUCAAUUCAUUGUUAUAUUUUCCCUAUUCCUUACAAUUAAAAGCAAAACAAAUAUAAUAUUUUUUUUUUUUUGUUUUUUGACAAGUUUGUACCUCUUGUUGAUGUACAAUUCACUGCAAGGCAACAACAUACCUGGACAAUUCUAUGUCUUUAUUGCAUGGAAUUGCAAGGCUGCAAGCAUAUGAAUACAUCAUUUAUUUAUAGCUUUUAAUAUAUAUAUAUAUAUAUCUAUCUUCCUUUGUAAAAUGGUUUUCAAGAUUGAGUAAAUUGUCAAUUCUUCCAAUUGGUUGUGUGAGAAUAUGCAUUAAUUUUCUUACAUAAAGUAGGUGGUAGAGUUGUCUCGGGGAAAAUAAUUUGACUUGUAAUAAUAGUGCAUCAAACCAUUAAUGUAUUGUACCAUUGUUCUAUUGGUUGGAAAAUUUUAGUUUGCAGAAGCAUGUCAAGUAUGUGUGCAGAUUUUUUUCUUUUGAUCCUUCUAUUACUACAAUGUGUAUUAAUUGCAAGUCUUGUACAUUUAUUUCCCUUAUAUCAAUCACUUGAAAUCCUUUCAUAUCUAUAAAUGCCCAUUGUAUUGAAGAUUGGUUGUUGGAUCCCAUAUUAUAAAAAACGUAUUGCUAUAACUUAAGGCUUACACACAUUUUUAUCUUCAAUUGAACAAGUGAAUUUACCUUAAAUUUGCUCCAUUCACCCCAACGUAUGGUUAGUGAUGAUGAUGGUGGUCAACAUGUCGACAAAACAUUAUACUUUCAGUCGAUGGUUCAAGAGAGUGAUUACAGGAGAAUACGGAGGAAGCUUUUACUACUACAGCUUGAACGUGAUCAACUCGAAAUAUUACAACACUCGUUGCCUUUUAUUUUUUAUGUUGCAACUAGAGGUGCACC